rnacentral:rRNA from 1 species
GUGGGGAAUAUUGGACAAUGGGGGGAACCCUGAACCAGCCAUGCCGCGUGUGUGAAGAAGGCCUUUUGGUUGUAAAGCACUUUAAGCGAGGAGGAGGCUACCGAGAUUAAUACUCUUGGAUAGUGGACGUUACUCGCAGAAUAAGCACCGGCUAACUCUGUGCCAGCAGCCGCGGUAAUACAGAGGGUGCGAGCGUUAAUCGGAUUUACUGGGCGUAAAGCGUGCGUAGGCGGCUUUUUAAGUCGGAUGUGAAAUCACCGAGCUUAACUUGGGAAUUGCAUUCGAUACUGGGAAGCUAGAGUAUGGGAGAGGAUGGUAGAAUUCCAGGUGUAGCGGUGAAAUGCGUAGAGAUCUGGAGGAAUACCGAUGGCGAAGGCAGCCAUCUGGCCUAAUACUGACGCUGAGGUACGAAAGCAUGGGGAGCAAACAGGAUUAGAAACCCCGGUAGUCC